CUGUCUCCAUCCGAGUCCCCAUCAGCUGUUGGAGCAGCGUGCAGGCAGCGGGCUGCUGGACCAAGAGGCUGCGAACACUUUACGGUCCAUGUAUCUUUCCCUACUCGGUACCAGAGAACCAAUACAUGAAGAUGAGGUGUUCCUCAUGGCUGGAGUGCCUUCUCUGCUGCGUCCUUGUUCUCGUUGGACAAGCGGCAUCGCAAUGGCCAGGUCAUGCAGCGUAACAGGACCACACGGUAACGCAGCACAGCUGUCCAACACCAGGACAGAAAAAGUGUCCAUGUGAGGAACACUUACUGAGGAGACUGGAAAGGAAAUGGAGAUACACUGUAGUUUACUCCAAUGCGGAUGUGUUUUUAUUAGAAAACCACGGUGGUCACAUCUUGCUUUGAUUACUUAAUUCAACCCAUCUGGAUUUUGUAGUGAAUCUGAGGAGUUGUAUAUCCGUACUGGACAUUGAAGAACAAGGCCCAGUUUGAGAAUCACCCCAGCGGCACCAGGCACACAAAUGAGGAACAUUGCCAAGCUCAGGGGGGUUCUAUCCAAUGCAGAACUGGAGAUGGCUAUCCAUGCCUUUAUUUCAUCCCGGCUUGAUUAUUGCAAUGCUCUGUUCUC